rnacentral:rRNA from 1 species
UACGAAGGGGGCUAGCGUUGCUCGGAAUGACUGGGCGUAAAGGGCGCGUAGGCGGCUUGAUUCGUCAGGCGUGAAAUUCCUGGGCUCAACCUGGGGGCUGCGUUUGAUACAAUUGGGCUAGAGUGGGGAAGAGGGUCGUGGAAUUCCCAGUGUAGAGGUGAAAUUCGUAGAUAUUGGGAAGAACACCGGUGGCGAAGGCGGCGACCUGGUCCUUGACUGACGCUGAGGCGCGAAAGCGUGGGGAGCAAACAGG